CCCUCCACUCCACAGAUUCGCACCAAGGAGUUCGUCAUCGCCGAUCUGCGCGCAUUUAAGCGAGUAUUUGGCGAGUAACUGACGGAUGAGUGUGAAUUGUUGAAGCUCUUGUGGAGGCUGCAGCGAAAGGAACCAGGGUGCGUCGUAGGAGAGCACAUACAAGUCCUCUUCGGAGUGCUCGGCUUCCUGACUACUUGGUGGCCGCGAGAAGGAUUGAUAGUGGAGAUGGAGCGAUUAGGGGAGAUCGGACGGUCGAGGGAGAAACGGACAGAAGGAGCAGACCGCGUAUUUCCGUACAAGUUAACACGAGUGGGAGAUGCAGAUCUGUGGCAUUGGUGGUGGCCGGAAAAUAAAGUAGAAGAGCGAGAAGCAAAGCUGGAGCUGGAAGAAGCGAAAGCAGUUGAAGAAGAUGGCGAGUGAGGAAGGUGGAAUCUGCCGGACGGAGAGAGUGAUCGGAUGACUGGUCCGCUUGAGGAUCUUCUAGAAGAUCCGGUUGCUGUUGCCGCCAUUUUUUU
rnacentral:misc_RNA from 1 species